UAGGGAAUCUUCGGCAAUGGGGGCAACCCUGACCGAGCAACGCCGCGUGAGUGAAGAAGGUUUUCGGAUCGUAAAGCUCUGUUGUAAGUCAAGAACGGGUGUGAGAGUGGAAAGUUCACACUGUGACGGUAGCUUACCAGAAAGGGACGGCUAACUACGUGCCAGCAGCCGCGGUAAUACGUAGGUCCCGAGCGUUAUCCGGAUUUAUUGGGCGUAAAGCGAGCGCAGGCGGUUUGAUAAGUCUGAAGUUAAAGGCUGUGGCUCAACCAUAGUUCGCUUUGGAAACUGUCAAACUUGAGUGCAGAAGGGGAGAGUGGAAUUCCAUGUGUAGCGGUGAAAUGCGUAGAUAUAUGGAGGAACACCGGUGGCGAAAGCGGCUCUCUGGUCUGUAACUGACGCUGAGGCUCGAAAGCGUGGGGAGCGAACAGGAUUAGAUACCCUGGUAGUCCACGCCGUAAACGAUGAGUGCUAGGUGUUGGAUCCUUUCCGGGAUUCAGUGCCGCAGCUAACGCAUUAAGCACUCCGCCUGGGGAGUACGACCGCAAGGUUGAAAC
rnacentral:rRNA from 1 species